AGGAGCUCUCUGCUGCAAAAGAGAGGAGAAGCCUGCUGAAAGAGCAGCACAUGAUACAGCGGCGGGAUGAAGAGCCCUGCACAGAGGAGGGACUUGGCCCAUCCAACCAGCAAGGCGGAGUAAGGAUGGAGUGUAGCAGUGGCAGAGCCCCGUAAGUGACCGUCGGACAGACUACACCCGAUCGAGAGACCCCUGAGGAGGCAGCCCCCACUGGGAACAUUCAAAGUCAUGGCAGGGGGAAAAUAAUUUGGUACUGAAGGCGCACCAAUCAAGUGAGGAAUGUGAGAACAAGAACCAGGGGCUGGAAGUUCAAGUCAAACACAUUCAAGUCAAACAAAUGAAGAAAUGAAACACAGUUUUUUUCCCCAGCAAGAUUGAUUAACCACUAGGACCAACUGCCAAGGGACCAGCAUGGAAGAUGUACAGUCAUGGCCCCACUAGAACUGACAUGGAAAGGAUCACACUACCGUCCUAAAGGGCAAUGAAGAAGGCGUGCUUCCCUGCACCUGACAGUGCUCCAGAAGACACUGUCUCUCUCAGGCUCAACAUACGUUGAAGCCCACGCCCACCCCCACCCCCCUCGCAGCAAUGUGAGGUCCUGCCUCCAGCACAAGGAACUCUGCCCUGUAUUUGUAGCUCAUUGUCUCCAUUUUCAUAUGCAGAGUUGUUCAAGAAAACACUUGCAUAAAAAA